rnacentral:rRNA from 1 species
AAACCGUUGAAAGGGAAGCGAAUGGAGUUAGCAAUUCGCCUCGCCAGAUUCAGUUUUCCGCGUGCCGAGACGAACGCGAUCUCGAUCUCAGUAGACGAGUCGUGUGCGGACCAGGGACGCGAGAGGCGCACUUCUGGCGGGCGAGCGUCUACGUCGGUCUCCGACGAGCUACAAAGUCGCCCGGAAGGUCGACUGUCCUUCGGGACGGUUAUUAAGCCUCGCGAUCGUACGGCUCGUCGUCGACCGUGGCAAUUGGUCGCGACGCGUGCCUCUCUUCGGUGCGGGCUGGUGUCCCGUUUUGUUUGUCCGGUUGUCGACCGUGGCGGACGGCAUGCCUGUGCGCUCGAACCGCUGCCGGUCAACAGUUCGGUGAUCACACACCACGCGUCUAGGACGUUGACGACGAUACGGCUCUAUCCGACCCGUCUUGAAACACGGACCAAGGAGUCUAACAUGUGCGCGAGUCUCUGGGUGGUCGAAACCCGUGGGCGAAAUGAAAGUGAAGGCAGCCUAGGCUGCUGAGGUGAGAAGCGUCGGCCUCGCGUCGGCGCCGCAUCAUCGACCGACCUAUUCUACUCCUAGAACGGUUUGAGUAAGAGCGUAUCUGUUGGGACCCGAAAGAUGGUGAACUAUGCCUGAAUAGGGUGAAGCCAGCGG